rnacentral:rRNA from 1 species
GUGAGAUGUAAGAAGUUUUUGGGAUCUGAAAAAUUCUGUGUAUGAGAGAAGAUCAAGGAGUGAGAAGUAACUGUUCAUCCCCUGUCGGUUAUUUAACCAGAAAGCCCACGGCUCAAUUAUCGUGCACAGCAGCCCGCGGUAAUACCGUAGGUGGGCAAGGCGUUGUUCCGGAUUUAUUGGGCGUAAAGCGAGCGCAGGCGGUUUCUUAAGGUCUGAUUUGAAAGCCCCCGGCUCACCCGGGGAGGGUCAUUGGAAACUGGGAGACUGAGUGCAGAAGGAGGAGAGUGGAAUCCCAUGUGUAGCGGGGAAAUGCGUAGAUAUAUGGAGGACCCCCAGUGGGGAAGCGGGCUCUUUGGUCUGUAACUGCCGCUGAGGCUGGAAAGGGGGGGAGCAAACAGGAUUAGAUCCCCUGGUAGUCCACGCCGUAAACGAUGAGUGCUAAGUGUUGAAGGGUUUCCGCCCUUCAGUGCUGCAGUUAACGCAUUAAGCAUUCCCCCUGGGGAGUACGACCCCAAGGUUGAAAUUCAAAGGAAUUGACGGGGGCCCGCCCAAGCGGUGGAGCAUGUGGUUUAAUUGGAAGCAACGGGAAGACCCUUACCAGGUCUUGACAUCCUUUGACCACUUUAGAGAUAGAGCUUCCCCUUCGGGGGCAAAGUGCCAGGUGGUGCAUGGUGGUCGUCAGCUCGUGUCGUGAGAUGUUGGGUUAAGUCCCGCAACGAGCCCAACCCUUAUUGUUAGUUGCCAUCAUUCAGUUGGCCAUUCUACCAAGACUGCCGGUGCCAAACCGGAGGAAGGGGGGGAGGACGUCAAAUCAUCAUGCCCCUUAUGCCCUGGGCUCCCCACGUGUUCCAAUGGGAAGUACAACGAGUUGGGAAGUCGGGAGGUUAAGCUAAUUUCUUAAAGCUUUUUUCAGUUCGGAUUCCAGGCUGCAAUUCGCCUCCAGGAAGCCGGAAUCGUUAGUAAUCGCGGAUCACCACGCCGCGGGGAAUACGUUCCCGGCCCUUGUCCCCCCCGCCCGUCCCACCACGAGAGUUUGUACCACCCGAAGUCGGGGAGGUACCCUUUGGAGCCAGCCGC